rnacentral:lncRNA from 1 species
UUUUGGUACCUUUUUCCUUUUUGUAUGAUUGAAUUUUUAUUUUUGACUUUGGGUUUUGUAAAAGCAUUUUUUUCUUUCUUUUCAUUGCACCAAUACUACUUGAGUUUUUUCUUUGAAUUUUUUUUCCUUUUUCCUUUUCUCUCUGACUUUCGUUUUUUCAAUACCCUUUCUUUUGCUUACUCUCAUAUACUUAAGAUAAGGUAGUGAAUAUUAUUUUUCUUUUCAAAUUUAGAUAAGGGUUGUAACUUAGAAAGAAAAAAAUAAAUUUUCAUUGUAUGACUCAAAGGGGUUUGUCA